rnacentral:tRNA from 1 species
GGGCGCUUAGCUCAGCGGUAGAGCGCCUGUCUUACACACAGGAUGUCGGCGGUUCGACCCCGUCAGCGCCCACCA